UUUCAAGGAGGCAGCGGGG
rnacentral:tRNA from 1 species